rnacentral:rRNA from 1 species
GAGUUUGAUCCUGGCUCAGAACGAACGCUGGCGGCAGGCCUAACACAUGCAAGUCGAGCGCUACCUUCGGGUGGAGCGGCGGACGGGUUAGUAACGCGUGGGAAUAUACCCUUCACUAUGGAAUAGCCUCGGGAAACUGAGAGUAAUACCAUAUACGCCCUUCGGGGGAAAGAUUUAUCGGUGAAGGAUUAGCCCGCGUAAGAUUAGAUAGUUGGUGGGGUAAUGGCCUACCAAGUCUACGAUCUUUAGCUGGUUUUAGAGGAUGAUCAGCAACACUGGGACUGAGACACGGCCCAGACUCCUACGGGAGGCAGCAGUGGGGAAUCUUAGACAAUGGGCGAAAGCCUGAUCUAGCCAUGCCGCGUGAGUGAUGAAGGUCUUAGGAUCGUAAAGCUCUUUCGCUAGGGAUGAUAAUGACAGUACCUAGUAAAGAAGCCCCGGCUAACUCCGUGCCAGCAGCCGCGGUUAAUA